UACGUAGGGCGCAAGCGUUGUCCGGAAUUAUUGGGCGUAAAGAGCUCGUAGGCGGUUUGUCGCGUCUGCUGUGAAAACUCGAGGCUCAACCUCGAGAUGUCGGCGGAAACUGUCUGGCUAGAGUCCGGAAGAGGAGAGUGGAAUUCCUGGUGUAGCGGUGAAAUGCGCAGAUAUCAGGAAGAACACCCGUGGCGAAGGCGGUUCUCUGGGACGGUACUGACGCUGAGACGCGAAAGCGUGGGGAGCGAACAGG
rnacentral:rRNA from 1 species